rnacentral:rRNA from 1 species
GACGAACGCUGGCGGCGUGCUUAACACAUGCAAGUCGAACGGAAAGGCCCUGCUUUUGUGGGGUGCUCGAGUGGCGAACGGGUGAGUAACACGUGAGUAACCUGCCCUUGACUUUGGGAUAACUUCAGGAAACUGGGGCUCAUACCGGAUAGGAGCUCCUGCUGCAUGGUGGGGGUUGGUAAGUUUCGGCGGUUGGGGAUGGACUCGCGGGUUAUCCGCUUGUUGGUGGGGUAGUGGCUUACCAAGGCUUUGACGGGUAGCCGGCCUGAGAGGGUGGCCAGCCACAUUGGGACUAAGAGACGGCCCAGACUCCUACGUGAGGCAGCGGUGGGAAAUAUGGCACAAUGGGCGGAAGCCUGAUGCAGCAGCGCCGCGUGCGGGAUAACGGCCUUCGGGGUGUAAACCGCUUUCGCCUGUAACGAAGCGGGAGUGACGGUAAUGGGUAAAGAAGCACCGGCUAACUACGUG